rnacentral:rRNA from 1 species
GACGAACGCUGGCGGCAUGCUUAACACAUGCCAGUCGAACGGAAAGGCCCUGCUUUUGUGGGGUGCUCGAGUGGCGAACGGGUGAGUAACACGUGAGUAACCUGCCCUUGACUUUGGGUUAACUUCAGGAAACUGGGGCUCAUACCGGAUAGGAGCUCCUGCUGCAUGGUGGGGGUUGGAAAGCUUCGGCGGUUGGGGAUGGACUCGCGGCUUAUCAGCUUGUUGGUGGGGUAGUGGCUUACCAAGGCUUUGACGGGUAGCCGGACUGAGAGGGAGACCGGCCACAUAGGGAUUGAGAGACGGCCAAGGCUCCAACGGGAGGCAGGAGGGGGAAAUAGUGCAAGAAGGGCCGAGGCCUGGUGCAGCAACGCCGGGUGCGGGAUGGCGGCUGUCGGGUUGGAAACCGCUUUCGCCUGUGACGAAGCGUGAGUAACGGUAAUGGGUAAAGAAGCACCGGCUAACUACGG